rnacentral:ncRNA from 2 species
CUACCGGCGUCGAGAGGUGUCGGGAUGGCGGUGCAGAAGUCAGCAGAGGCCAUAUUAGGCGAGCCGUUGGCGCUGAAGGGC